UACGUAGGGUCCGAGCGUUGUCCGGAUUUAUUGGGCGUAAAGAGCUCGUAGGCGGCUUGUCGCGUCGAAUGUGAAAACCCACGGCUCAACUGUGGCUUGCAUUCGAUACGGGCAGGCUAGAGUUCGGUAGGGGAGACUGGAAUUCCUGGUGUAGCGGUGAAAUGCGCAGAUAUCAGGAGGAACACCGGUGGCGAAGGCGGGUCUCUGGGCCGAUACUGACGCUGAGGAGCGAAAGCGUGGGGAGCGAACAGG
rnacentral:rRNA from 1 species